rnacentral:rRNA from 1 species
UACGUAGGGGGCAAGCGUUGUCCGGAUUUAUUGGGCGUAAAGCGCGCGCAGGCGGUCUUCCAAGUCAGUGGUGAAAGCCUGGAGCUCAACUCCAGAACUGCCAUUGAAACUGUUAGACUUGAGUACGAGAGAGGUGAGUGGGAUUCCCAGUGUAGAGGUGAAAUUCGUAGAUAUUGGGAAGAACACCAGUGGCGAAGGCGGCUCACUGGCUCGUAACUGACGCUCAGGCGCGACAGCGUGGGGAUCAAACAGG